CAGUCGCCGCGGGAAUACGAAGGGUGCAAGCGUUACUCGGAAUUACUGGGCGUAAAGCGUGCGUAGGCGGUUUGUUAAGUCUGCUGUGAAAUCCCCGGGCUCAACCUGGGAAUGGCAGUGGAUACUGGCAAGCUAGAGUGUGUCAGAGGAUGGUGGAAUUCCCGGUGUAGCGGUGAAAUGCGUAGAGAUCGGGAGGAACAUCAGUGGCGAAGGCGGCCAUCUGGGACAACACUGACGCUGAGGCACGAAAGCGUGGGGAGCAAACAGGAUUAGAUACCCGAGUAGUCCCUGUCUCUUAUAU
rnacentral:rRNA from 1 species